AGAGCGCCGAGCGCAUCGAAUAAAACUCGGAGCCUGCUGAGCGCGGGAGCUGGCACUUAUUUAUUGAGAAUUUGCUAUGUCCCAGCCUUGCCCUAGAAGCUUACAAACAUUAUUUCACUUAAUCCUCACUGUAUUCCUGUCGCAUUUUGCAGAAGAGAACCAGGCUGAGAGAAGUUAAGUGACGUGCCCAAGGAUACACAGCUCUCUGCAUGUGACACGCUGACUCCCCUUCUGCCAUGAUUGUAAGUUUCGUCACUAGAAGCAGAUGCCGACACUAUGCUUCAUGUACAGCCUGCAGAACUGUGAGCCAAGAACUAUGUACUGAAGAUUUGGGGGCAAAAGAGGACCACAUCUGCAACUAACUGGAGAUGGUUCAGAAGAUGAUGCACACACACUCAAGCAUAUCGAGAGAGAAAGGGGCAGAGGACACAGAAGGCCCUGAGUUUAAUGUGCAUGUUUUGGGGAAUUUGGAAGAAGAGCCCCUGAUAAUUCAUCCUUCAUUAUUCUUGCAACUUUUCUCUAAAUCUGAAAUUAUAUUAAAA
rnacentral:lncRNA from 10 species